UACGUAGGGUGCAAGCGUUAAUCGGAAUUACUGGGCGUAAAGCGUGCGCAGGCGGUUAUGUAAGACAGUUGUGAAGAUCCCCGGGCUCAACCUGGGAACUGCAUCUGUGACUGCAUAGCUAGAGUACGGUAGAGGGGGAUGGAAUUCCGCGUGUAGCAGUGAAAUGCGUAGAUAUGCGGAGGAACACCGAUGGCGAAGGCAAUCCCCUGGACCUGUACUGACGCUCAUGCACGAAAGCGUGGGGAGCAAACAGG
rnacentral:rRNA from 1 species